CGGUAAUUCCAGCUCCAAUAGCGUAUAUUAAAAUUGUUGCAGUUAAAAAGCUCGUAGUUGAAUUUCUGCUAAAAAUAACCGGUCUGCUUUUAAUAAAGGUGGUAUCUUGGUGUGUUUUUAGCAAUAAUGUCCUUUGAAAUGUUUUUUACUUCAUUGUAAGAAAUUAUAUUCAGGAUUUUUACUUUGAGAAAAUUAGAGUGUUUCUAGCAGGCUAACGCUUUGAAUACUGCAGCAUGGAAUAAUAAAAUAGGAUUUUGGUUCUACAUUAUUGGUUUUAAGAGCUAAAUUAAUGAUUGAUAGGGACAGUUGGGGGCAUUUGUAUUUAACUGUCAGAGGUGAAAUUCUUA
rnacentral:rRNA from 1 species